AAGUGACAAAGAAGAGGUACAGGGAAGGACAGACUGUCCUAUAGUUUAAUUUGACUGAAGCUGUAUGCUUAACUAGUAUAUAGCGUCCAAAGAGAGAUACCUAUUAGAAAAGAAUAUUUUAUGUGUGUGUGUUUGCAACAAUACGUAAUGAUGCUUUCACGUAUCUUCAGUUAGGCCCUCUUUGUUUAUGUGACCUUCAUUUAGAUGCCAAUUUAGAAGAAAAUUAAUACUACAGCCUGUUCCUCAGUACCACGAUGCUAAAAUUAUCCAAAUAAUACUUCACACCCCCUCAAACCCAAGUGCCCUGAAUGGCAUUGUACUUAUAAAACCGGUAUUGAGGUGCAAUAAUGACUAAUAUAAAUGACCAUGAGGAAUUUCUAUGGGUAGUAGAAAUUCAGUUCAGAGUACCUACUCUUGAGCGCGCACGCCAUGUGUGCCGACCACUCGGGACCGCGCCCAGUGAGGCCCAAAGGCCCCGCAGUUUGGCCGGCAAUGUUCCUCUCGGCGGCGCCCACUGGGGAAGACAUAAGAAAUUUGCCUGAGACAGCUGUUCAGAAUGGAGCUGAAGGAGGCUUAUUUGUGCACAGAGAUACUCCUGAGAAUAACCCAGCAACUCCAUCUGAUUUCACACCAGAAAACUGUAAGAGGAUAGAGGCCAUUUUGAAAAACUUCCCAGAAGGGCAUAAGGCAGCAGCUGUGCUUCCAGUUCUGGGUUUAGCCCAGAGACAGAAUGGAUGGCUGCCCAUCUCUGCUAUGAACAAGGCUGCAGACAUUUUACAAGCACCUCCAAUGAGAGUGUAUGAAGUGGCAACUUUUUAAAUAAUGUAUAAUCGAAAGCCAGUUAUAUCACAUAUCAAGUCUGCACUACUACGCCUUGCAUGCUUCGAAACUCCAACAGGAUACUGGAGGCCGUUCAGAAAAAACUUGGAAUAAAGGUUGGAGACUACACCUGACAAACUUUUCACUCUUGUAUAAGUGGAAUGUUUAGGGGUCUGUGUAAAUGCACCAAUGGUUCAAAUAAAUGACAACUACUAUGAGGAUCUGACACCUAAGGAUAUUGAAGAAAUUAUUGAUGAACUCAAGGCUGGCAAAAUCCCAAAACCUGGGCCAAGGAGUGGACGCUUCUCCUGUGAGCCAGCUGGAGAUCUUACCUUUUUGACUGAACCACCAAAAGGACCUGGGUUUGGUGUGCAAGCAGGCCUUUAAUUUAUAUUCAACUGUAAAUAUGUCAGUGGAGAAAUAAAAUAUGAAUCUCCUAUCUACCUAAA